CUCAUGGAAACCAAUAGAUACUUCUUCGGAGGGAUCGCCAAUAAUUGUUAAACCUAGACGGUAGAAACAAUUGUCGUGUUAAAUUGACGCCUGCAUAAGUGUUUUUCAAAUGUUUUAUGCGUACUCACCGAGAAAUAACAACUACACCGGUCGCCGCUCCAUGCGAGAACCAGGAAUACAGUAAAUAAAAAGAAGAAAGUUACUUCCGAAUGAAUGCCGUAGUGGUCGUGGAGAGGAUGGUAAAGAGGCAAGAACAGCAGGACUCCGCCAGGCAUACCAAGUAAAGCUGGUAGCACAGUGCACACAGUUUCCUUGAAGCACCUGCGAAGAGUACGAACAGAACGAUUCAUUCUCUCCGGUACUUUUGCACCACGGAUUGCGAAAACAUGAUCAAACAGACGCGACAUCAUUUUUGGCGAGGUAAACUAAGUGGCAAAAAUCUUACUCACGAUUUGCUCGCCGUCCAUUGUUCCUUGCUUUCUGUAAAGAGACGUCUCGUUCCGUGAAAGAAGAAGGUGAAGCUUGCGGCAAACGCUGCGUGAAAGUAAUACGAGUUCCAAGGAACAAAGUAGUGCCGAUCGUAUAUGUUGGGAUCAGUGGCGUGCCAGGACCAGUGAAGGAAUCUCACAGAGACUAUGUCGUAAGGAAUGUCAAUGAGGACUGUUAUCAGGCCUACGGCGAAUGGUUCGCUCCAAGCAGGCAGUCGCAGUUGCUUCACAGCGAUGGAUGCGUUGUAUAUGAAUACAACAUCUGGAAGAUUUGGUAAAAAUUUUUCCAAAUUUCUACUUUCAUAAUGAAAGUUACAGUAUUGAGAAAGAGCGAACUCGUUUCUCCAACUUCAUACUCACACACCAAGAUUAUAUGGAGCGGCAAACGCCGUCCAAUCAGAAUUAUCGGUGUCUGGGAAUGCCAAAAGUUGUCGAUGUCUGGAAGGUUGUAGCUAAUCGCCUCUACAACUAUUCCAUGGAGUAUAAUACCCACCCAUAAAUGCACGUAGCGACGUCCGCUUUUCAACGCUAUACGAAAAUGGGAGAAAAUUGAUUAAAACGACGCACUGGUUACCAUGGAGAAGGGUGAUAAAGCCACCGACUAGGCACAACACCUGCACCAUGAUGUAAGUUGGUUGAGCCUUCCACAUCACGGUAACAUCGUUGAAAGCCACAAACCAGUCGAGAAACUGCAAAAAGAACAAUCGCCGAACGUCAGAAAGACGGUUAAAAAAUAGAAGACUAAAAAACAAACUGAAAAUUAAAGAACUCCGGCCCAAAGAAGAUCAAUACGAUCAUUCUUAAAACUACGCCAGAUAUUUAUGUAGUGGAACGAAUUUCACCAGUUGAACAGAGAGAUGGAGCUAUAAGGAUGAAACUAGUAACGUUACCGUAAUAAAGAUGCAUGUUUACGAAAAAUGGCUAAUUCGCAUCUUUAUGACUCUCCGAAAUUUAGUAAACCAAUUAUAAUAAACAAAAUGUACAAUAAUUCCGAAGAGCCAACUUCUUGAAAGUCAUCCUAAAAUUGACCACCCUGGUCUUUGAUUUCCUCGGCGAAUCCUGGCAAGUCGCGUCUAUUAUCCAUGGCUCGUAUGAAAAAAGGAGCGCGCGUAA
rnacentral:lncRNA from 1 species